rnacentral:tRNA from 1 species
GCAGAUGUGGCGGAACUGGUAGACGCGCAGGAUUUAGGAUCCUGUGGGGAUUUCCCUUUAGAGGUUCGAGUCCUCUCAUCUGCA